GAUCUGACUUCCAGGAGUAGGUCUUAAAAUCUAGGUAUAAGAGUAUGCCUAACAGUGACCUUGAAUAUGAAUUGUCUGUGGGAGAACAUGGUCAGGUUGGCCUGUUCAUCCCCUUGAAAAGGGCUAUUUAUACAAAGGAGAACAUUUACUUAAAACACUGAAUUUUGAACAUAGAAGUGUUUUUGGAGGCUAAUUCCAAGCUUUCACUUUGUACUUGAGAAUACUCAGAUUGAAGCCUAGGGAUUUCCUAAUUCCUAUUUUAAUUCCUACCAUCUAUCCCUUUCUCUCUUCUCUACAUUAUUUUUGUUUUUGUGAAAUAGUGUAUUUCAGGAUAGAAAUUAAAAAUUAGAGUUUAACAUCAUUAUCCCUUAACCUUUUAUUGUGUGUGUUGCUAUGAAUGAUGGUGCUUGAUCCUGAAUUUUCCUGUCCAGUCACUUAGAAGCCAUAGGCAGAGAGUUAAGAAUCACAUAGGUGAAAAGGAAAGUUUUCAGUGUGGUUAACAGGAUAUGAGGGCUUGGGGUGACAUCCAGUCAGAGGGAUCUCAUCCUUGACCUUCCGUCAGAAAAGGGCAACCGUCACUUUCUCCUCUCACCUGUUUUCCCAUCACCCCCUGCAUAUCGGAGCUGUGCAGAUGCAUUACUCUGAAUCACAAAAAGAAUAUAUUUGACAAAGGGUCUUCUGUUGCCACCACCUGUAUUGCUUCAGGCCAAGAGGAGAUUUUGGCAUUGGGUCCUUAGUGAGGUCUGCCUGAAGCUGAAACAACACAAAAUUCAUGAAGUUUCAUCAAACAUCUAGUAAAAUCAUUGAAUAAAAACAAAAUUGGCUGAAUCUAUUAGUAUUGGAAACGACUGGUCAUUUGAAUCAGCACCCUCAGUCUGGCAGUUUUGUGCUGAUAUAAUGCAUGCAGAACACCACCCCUGGCCUUUCCCUCGCACAGCUUUGAUGAAGUAAUACAAGAGUGUUCACAUACACCGGCAGAGAAGUUUUGCAGGGAAAUUUUUUUUCUAAGUAAUUCUUUCUUUCUGGUGGAAAUUUUCUUCUCUAAAGAGAUAAAGUUAAGAGGGGAAAUCUCUGAUGGGGUUGGGCCAGGUGGGGCUAUGUAUGUGCCUGGCCAGGGGUGAGGUAGGUAAAGUUCAGACAGUGGUGCUUUUGCAUUGCCAGUGAUUCAGACACCUUAGGCCACUUAAAAACGUUGACUGUAUGGCUGGGUUACCAGCUUGUAACUACUUAGUGAAUCAUUAGUUCAGCUAAAUGAAAUGGACUGGUGAUGGAUAUAGGCAUAGCCAAGGCCCCCUAUUUUUGACGUUUUAUGGACGAAGCAGGUCUAGACUUUGUUCCUUCCCUGUGGUCUUCAAAUCUAAAACACCUAAGCUAACUGAGUGCAAUUACGUAAAUGCAGUCUAGUUGUCUCUGUAAGCUCUAAGACCAUUACUUUCUCUACUUGUUAAAAAUAUUAUUAUUUUGAUUUUGAAAUAAUUUAAAAUUUAUGGAAAGAGUUCAAUUUUUUUCUCUCUCCUCCCUUCAAAAUUUCGGUGGGUUUUCUUAAAAAUAAGGUCAUUCUCUGACAGUAACCAUAGUACACCAGAUAAAUAUUUGGGGUCUCAUCAAAAUUUUCCUAUAAAUUUUAGCAUCCAUUCACGAUCCUUGCCCUAUGCAUUUUUGAAUGACCAAUCUAAUGAAUAUCUACUCUGUUUUAACAAUUGGACAGAUACAUAGAUCACUAUAACUCAGUUUCUAACCUCAGUGUUUUAGAAAAAACAGACAUGUAGACAAAUACAUUAUAGUCAGAGCGACGAGUGCAAGAAGGACAGCAAGACGGUGGUUCAGAAGCAGUAAAGACAGACGCUGCCUAAGGAAGGAGGUCAGGGAGGACCUCACAGGAGAAGCAGUUCCUGGAAGGGCUGUCUCCAAUUAGAGCUGAGGACAUUUUCUGGACCCUAUACAUCAUUAGGGGGAUAUGAAGUCCUAGCUGCUCUAAAUGUAAGACAUCCCUACUGCCUGUGUUUUUUUAAUCUCAGUGUUCUCAAUCAUUUUGACCUUCACAGUAGAAAAUACACAUUGUAACUUACAUGCAUGCACACACGCACACAAGGAGUCAGAGAAAUACAGUCUCUUAACGUUACUACUUGUGAUGCAUUCUUAUAUUUUCUAUCCUAUUCUGUUGUACUCUAUUUAUAAAUGCAGAACUAAUACAUCCAAUAUGUGGGAAUGAGGAUGUGGAAUCUACAUUUCUGACAAAUUCUCUGUGCUGUUCUGAUACUAAUCAAGGGUACUGGCUUAGGAAAAGGUGGAACGUAUUCUAAGACAACAAUAGUGGCCCCAGGAAGCUCUGUUUAAUAGACAAAUCAGGGAUCUCAAAGUUUGCCCAGGGAGAAACCCUGCUCUAGUUGAUAGGUACUCAGAGGGUUCAUUUUCUGACCUACAGCUAGUGGCACAAAGAAGAGAACUAAUGCCAAGAUUUCUCGAAAACAGGUCCAUAUGUUUUAGUGGGUCAAUGGCAGAUACUGGUGAGAACUUUUCAGAAAUGAUGGGAGAAUUCUCCCAAAAGAGGGGGAAGGUUGCCGUGGUGAAGUGAUUCAUUCCAUUCUGCUAAUGCUUUAUCCAUUCCCAUCACAUUAUUGUAGAUACUUAAGCUGCUGUGUUGAAAGCCAUCUGGAACUCAGAAUAAAGACUAUGCAUUCCAUGGGCUCUGAAAAGGGAUUUCUUGUCCCUGUAUAGAAUGCUUAAAAAUGUGAACCUUUGAUAAAGUGUUGGCUUACCUCCAAUAGGCAGAUACUUUCUCUGUAACACACUUGGCCCAGAAUAAGGUCUUCCAAAUUCCUGUAAGCCAGAUUUUUAAAACAAUUUUAAGGACAGUACCCCAAAGGACCAUAAAAAGGGUUAUUGGAAAGUAAUGGAGAAGUUAACCUAGCAGUCAAGGAGAAGGUUGGGCUCUUCCAGAGAGUGCAUCAUGUAAAGAAGGCAAAAGAUGAGAUACCACCUUGUGCUUGAGUAUCAAAUUUUGAAAAUUGUAGCGGGAGAUGUUUCUGGAGAUCAUGGAGGUGUUUUAAAAUCUUGCUAAAAGUACUUUAAAUUUUAUCUUGUAGUGAGAGUGAAUUGAGGGUAUUAGAUAGGAAACAGAUGUGGUCAUUCAUUGACUCCAAAAAUGGAAGAGAAGCUACCACAUACCAUUCAGAGAGGGGGAUACAAAGAAGGAAAGAUCAGUUAGGUGGUUAUUUCGGUGGCCUCAAUAGGAGAUGCCAAAGAGCUGAAAGCUAAUGUUACAGUGGGUAUGAUGUCCUAUCUUCCAAGCAUCCUUCUCCCACUCUGGUGACUAUAAGCUAUGAAGGAAGGGACUUGAUUUUUCUCUCUUCUCAAUUUUCAGCACACAGACACUUGCAUGGUAUGUAGCAAUCCAUCAAUGAAAACUUAUUUAAUUAAUAUCUAUAGAAGUUUAUCAUAUGAUUCGAACAACUGAUUAAUUAUAUGGGGAAACAUACCAUCCAGAAUAAUCAUUUGGCCCAAAUAAGAAGUUCUUAAUCCUGGUUCCUUCUUAAAAACACUGAAGGGUAUUUUCUCAAUGUAGGAUAGCCCACUCUUCACAGAUCCUUCUCAUUGCAACUAAAAAGCACAAUAAGGAGGUGCAGGAGAGCAGUGAAUUUCCUGGGUUUCUUUACUGCCUGCCAUAUCCUAAACUCCCAAGAGGCACAGGCUAAAAAUACUCUGAGAAAAGACACCUCCCCUAACCAAAGAACUGAUAAAAAGAUGGCUUAGCAAUAGGAAACCUUAUUGGCAAUAUCACCUAUUCCAAUCAAAUACUAGUGUUAAAAUUCUCCUCAGCUCUGCUCCUUUAUUUCACCUGACCCAGUAAGAAGUUGAUUUUCCACCUCUGUGGGUGAAAGCAUGGAUGCACUGGAAGUAGUACCCCUGGAAACAGAGAACUAACGCCUUUCUCCAUCUGGCAGAAAUGGACAGUGCUCUGAUGCCCCUGCCAGGAUGGUAUUGACAAGGUGCAGCAGCAUCUCCACCUCAACCCAGCAAUAAGGAGGCAGAAGGAGGUGGUGGUGAGAAGUAGGGGAGUUAACAAUCUGUUUCACCUCCCUCUCCUUGUGUCAGAGAAAACUUGGGAGAAACUGAGUCUCCACCUUUGCCCUGCAGUAAACUGGUAUGAGUAAGCCCUCUGCUUCCUGCCUCCCUGGUGUCAGCAGGACCAAUGGAGGAGACAACAAGGUGGUUUAAGUCAGUGCCUCACUUUUGCUGGGAUGGCAUGGGAUGGCAUCAUAGGGCCAUGCCAGAAGAUGAAUGGACACACCCAGCUAGCUCUCAAGCUAUAUCUCAACAAGGAAUUAUCUGCCAAAAAAAGAUUAAAAAGGAUCCACAAAAAAAAAAAACAACAAAAAGAGUUCCUAUCGUGGCUCAGCAGAAAUGGAUCUGACUAGUAUUCAUGAGGAUGCAAGUUUGAUCCUUGGCCUUGCUGUAAUGGGUUAAGGAUCUGGCAUUGCUGUGAGCUGUGGAAUAGGUUGCAGACUUGGCUCAGACCUGGUGUUGCUGUGGUGUAGGCCAGCAGGUACAGCACUGAUUUGACCCCCAACCUGGGAACUUCCAUAUGCCAUGGGUACAGCCCUAAAAAGGCUCCCCCCCCAAAAAAAAAGUCCAGAGUCACAUAAUAUAUAACAUUUCCAGAAUGCAACUGAUAAUCACAUCAUGGGAUAAAGCAAGAAAAUCACAAGAGGAGUGGGAAAAGACAAAAACAGGAGCCAACUCAGAGAGAAAUCAGAUGGGGAAAUUAUCUGAUAAGGAUUUUAAGCAGCUGUCAUAAACAUUUUUCAAUAAGUAAUUACAAAUUCUCUUGAAACAAAAUGAAUAAAUAGAAAUCUCAGCAAAGAAUAAAAAUAAAAAAAUAAAUGGAAAUUAUAGAAUUAAAAAUACAAUAACUAAAAAUGUUUCUUAAUGGGUUUAAUAGCAGAAUGGAGAUGGCAAGGAUAGAAUUCAUGAACUGAGGAAAUGUGAAUAAAAUUACCUAAUAUGAGUCACAGAGAAAUUUGUCUGAAAAGGACAAAAAUCCAAAAUCUAGAGUCUUAGGGACCUGUUAGUAACAAAAAAGCUAAUAUUUGUAUUUUCAGGGUCACAGAAAAGGAAGAGAAAGAAGAUCGAAAAAGUAGUUGAAAAAAUUAUGGUGAAAAUCUAUAAAUUUGGAAAAAUAUAUACCUCUACAGAUGCAAGAAGUCAAGCAAAGCCCAUGUAUGAUAAACCCAAAGAAAUUUCUGCUGAAAUACACUGUGAUUAUAUGUCUGAAAAUUAAAAACAAAGAAUUUUGAAAGCAGCCAGAGAGAAGGGAUGCACUAUUUAUACCAGCAGUUUGAAUGAUUGCAUAUUUCUAAUAUGAAGGCCUGGAGGCCAAGAGGAAGUGGCACAAGAAUUUUCAGGUAUUGAAAGAAUAGAACUGUUGGCCAUGAAUUCUAUAUCCAACAAAAAUAUUCCUAUGGAAUGAAGAGGAAAUAAAGACAUUAUCAGGAUAAGAAAAACUAUGAAAAUCUCUUACUAGCACUUACCCUUAAAAGAAUGGCUAGAGGAAGUUCUCUAAGCAUAGAAAAAAUAACAAAAGGUGACUUAAGAACAUGAGCAUAGGUAAAAGAGAAUAUAACAGUAGAUUUUGAAAAAGCCGUAAUAGCCUAUUCUAUUUCUUAUGAGCUUCUUAAAUUAUACUUUAUUAUUGAAGUAAAAUUUAUGACAACCAUGUGAUGUGGUAAUCAAUAUAUGUAAAGGAAAUAUUUUGAUAAGUACAUUGAAAAAGUGGGGAAAAUAAUUUUUCUAUACUCAAUAAAAUAGACACCACAGUCUGUCACAAGUUAUAUGUUCAUAAUGUAAAAUCCAUUGCAACUAUUAAGAAAACUAUAUAUGGGAGUUCUUGUUGUGGCUCAGUGGUAACAAACACGAGUAGUAUCCAUGAGGAUGCGGGUUUGAUCCCUGGCCUCACUCAGUGGGUUAAGUGUCUGGCAUUGCCAUGAACUGUGGUUUAGGUGGUAGAUGAAGCUCAGAUCCUGCCAUUGCUGUGGCUGUGGCAUAGGCCAAUGGCUGCAGCUCCAGUUUGACCCCUAGACUAGGAACUUCCAUAUGCUGCACAUGCAGCC
rnacentral:lncRNA from 1 species